rnacentral:lncRNA from 1 species
AGACAACACAAUCUCAGUAGCUUCUAAAAACAUGUUACCUAGGAAUAAAACUAAUACAAGAUAUAAAAUACCUCUACACAGAAAGCUACAAAAUAUUACUGAAUGAACCAGGUGCAGUGGCUCAUGCCUGUAAUCCUAGCACUUUGGGAGGCUAAGGUGGGUGGAUCACGAAGUCAGGUGUUUGAGACCAGCCUGGCCAACAUGGUGAAAACCCAUCUCUACUAAAAAUACAAAAAUUAGCCAGGCAUGGUGGUGCAUGCCUGUAAUCCCAGCAACUCAGGUGACUGAGGCAGGAGAAUUGCUUGAACCCAGGAGGCAGAGGUUGCAGUGAGCCGAGAUUUUGCCAUUGCACUGCAGCCCAGAACUCCUGGGCUCAAGCAUCCAUCAGGCCGAAUCAGGGUGUUGACCUUGGCCACAUCAAUGUCAUAGAGCUUCUUCACAGCCUGUUUGAUCUGGUGCUUGUUGGCUUUAACAUCCACAAUGAACACAAGUGUGUUGUUGUCUUCUAUCUUCUUCAUGGCAGACUCAGUGGUCAGUGGAAACUUGAUGAUCGGAAGAGCA